rnacentral:lncRNA from 1 species
CAGCAAUCCACUGUGCAGGUGGUGGUUUAAAUAUGUCAGUGCUAAGCUGUAGACAAAGAGUGUGUUGCUUAUAAUGUAUGUAUUAAAACCUUAACAUGCUGAUAAGAAUAAGACAGAAAGCACGAACAAGAGGAGCAAAUUUUAAUAAAGUAAAAAAAAAAAAAAAAAAAAAAAAAGAAGAAGAAGUAAAGGAUGCUGAAGAAGGCUCAUGCUGAGCACAGACACAUCUGACUGGCUCCCCAUCCCUGCUGGAAGCUGCCUCUUCUGAGACCCUUGACUUUUAUGACCUCAAAAGUAAGUGCUAAUAUUGUGCAAAAUUAAUAGUGUAAAAGUAAAAGCGAAAAUAGGAUAUAUGAUGAACAGGUUCAUUUUAAACCAUGGAUUCC